ensembl:lncRNA
UGUUCUUCGAAUUUAGCUAUGACGCAAUCUAGUGUCUCUAUGUGCCCACAAUGAGCGUAGCUGUAUUACUGUUCUCGAGACUCUCUCCGCCUUCCGCCUUCCGCUCCUUCCUGCUCGCCCCGCCCCUUUGUUUUGUUCUCAUCUGGAACGUGAACAGGCCGCUUGCGUUUGAACAGGUAGCUAGGAGACGACUGAAAACUAAGAAAAGAUUAUGUUUACAAUCCAACCGGUCUGCGUCGCACCAAACGGCGGCGGUUAUAAACACUGGGAAACUUCAACUGAUCCUCCUCGACACUUAAUGCCAGCCCAUGUAUCACUCCUUUCAAAGAUACCCUGCUCCAUAGAGCAAAGCAAAUCACAUGUCCCUAAUGGCGUGAUCUGUAGCGCCCGCUCCCCCUGG